rnacentral:rRNA from 1 species
GUGGCAUCGCCGAGUAGCUAUGUGCGGAAGAGAUAACCGCUGAAAGCAUCUAAGCGGGAAACUCGUCUCAAGAUUAGUCUUGCCGGGGCCUCGAGCCCCCUGAAGAGUCGUUCGAGACCAGGACGUUGAUAGGCUGGGUGUGGAAGCUGAGUAAUCAGUUAAGCUAACCAGUACUAAUUGCUCGUGAGGCUUGACCCUAUAA